CCCCCAAAUUAACAAAGCAAUGCCUAAAUAUUGAGACAUUCCUGUUAAACCUGGAUUCAAAUAGCAUUGGUUUAUCUGUAUAAUUUCAAUGUAAAUUUGGCAGCUACUAGUGUCUGAGAGGAAAAUAAACAGACGAGAGCAACAAUAAACCUGGAGGUUGCCGGGUGCAGUGACGCGCACCUGUAAUCUCAGUGACUAGGGAAGCUGAGGCAGG
rnacentral:lncRNA from 1 species